rnacentral:rRNA from 1 species
AGGCGACGAUCAGUAGCCGGUCUGAGAGGAUGAACGGCCACAUUGGGACUGAGAUACGGCCCAGACUCCUACGGGAGGCAGCAGUGGGGAAUAUUGGGCAAUGGGGGAAACCCUGACCCAGCAACGCCGCGUGAAGGAAGAAGGCCUUCGGGUUGUAAACUUCUUUUACCAGGGACGAAAAACGUGACGGUACCUGGAGAAAAAGCAACGGCUAACUACGUGCCAGCAGCCGCGGUAAUACGUAGGUUGCAAGCGUUGUCCGGAUUUACUGGGUGUAAAGGGCGUGUAGGCGGAGAUGCAAGUUGGGAGUGAAAUCCAUGGGCUCAACCCAUGAACUGCUCUCAAAACUGUAUCCCUUGAGUAUCGGAGAGGCAAGCGGAAUUCCUAGUGUAGCGGUGAAAUGCGUAGAUAUUAGGAGGAACACCAGUGGCGAAGGCGGCUUGCUGGACGACAACUGACGCUGAGGCGCGAAAGCGUGGGGAGCAAACAGGAUUAGAUACCCUGGUAGUCCACGCUGUAAACGAUGAAUACUAGGUGUGGGAGGACUGACCCCUUCCGUGCCGCAGUUAACACAAUAAGUAUUCCACCUGGGGAGUA